rnacentral:rRNA from 1 species
GAUGAACGCUGGCGGCGUGCCUAAUACAUGCAAGUCGAGCGAACAGACGAGGAGCUUGCUCCUCGGACGUUAGCGGCGGACGGGUGUGUAACACGUGGAUAACCUACCUAUCAGACUGGGAUAACUUCGGGAAACCGGCGCUUAUACCGGAUAAUCUAUUGAACCGUAUGGUUCAAUAGUGAAAGUCGGUUUUGCUGUCAGGUAUAGCUGGUUCCGCGCCGCAUUAGCUAGUUGGUGAGGUCACGGCCUAUCAAGGCGACGAUGCGUAGCCGACCUGAGAGGCUGGUCGGCCACCCGAGAACGGGAACGCGGUCAAGACGACUACGAGAGGCAGCAGAAGGGAAUCGUCCGCAAUGGGCGAAAGUCUGACGGAGCGACGCCGCGUGAGUGAUGACGGCCUUCCGAUCGUGAAGCUCUGUUAUGAGGGAAGAACAAAUGUGUAAGUAACUAUGCACGUCGUGACGGUACCUAAUCAGAAAGCCACGGCUAACUACGUG